UACGGGGGGGGCAAGCGUUGUUCGGAAUUACUGGGCGUAAAGGGCUCGUAGGCGGCCAACUAAGUCGGAUGUGAAAUCCCCAGGCUUAACCUGGGAACUGCAUCCGAUACUGGAUGGCUUGAAUUCGGGAGAGGGAUGCAGAAUUCCAGGUGUAGCGGUGAAAUGCGUAGAUAUCAAGUGGAACACCAGUGGCGAAGGCGAAUCCCUGGAAAAUACCUGACACUGAGGCACGAAAGCUAGGGGAGCAAACAGG
rnacentral:rRNA from 1 species